rnacentral:rRNA from 1 species
UACGUAGGGUGCGAGCGUUGUCCGGAAUCAUUGGGCGUAAAGCGCACGUAGGCGGUCUGUUAUGUCGGAUGUGAAAUACCUCGGCUCAACCGAGGAACUGCGUCCGAUACUGCCUGGCUUGAGGUCCGGAGGGGAGAGUGGAAUUCCCGGUGGAGCGGUGAAAUGCGUAGAGAUCGGGAAGAACGCCGGCGGCGAAAGCGACUCUCUGGUCGGAAUCUGACGCUGAGGUGCGAAAGCUAGGGGAGCAAACGGG